CUCGUUAUUUUCUUCCUUCUUCUGUUUCUCCUCAAACUCUCCUCUGUCGGUUUUGAUUUCGGAGAAGUGAGUUCAAAUUUAGUGUGGAUGAUUUAUCAGAUAGCUGGUAGUGUGUUGAAUAGAAUGAGUAUGUGAUGGAGUUGUAAUCGUUUGAAGCUCAGGGAGGAGAAGAAAUUGAUAUUGAUGUAAAUCGAAGUUAGGGUUUGUAUGAAAUUGAUAAGUAUAUCUAGUUGUUGAUUAAUAAAGAACAAUGGGUUUUGGUAGAUUGAUGUUCAAUGAUUUGGGGAAAAGAAGGGGUUGAUGUUGUUUGAUCGGAAUUAAGGUUUCUGAAUAUGGGUUUGAGAUUCGAUUAAAGAUGAAUUAGAAGAUGGAAUUAAAGUUCUGGAAGGAAGAUUAGAGACGGGUUUUCGAUUGAUUUGAAGUAUACUUGAAAAUUUACAGUUAGGGUUUCUUGUUAAUAUUCACGGGAUUGAUUAGAAGAAGAAGAUUCUGAGAAGAGGGAUUGUUGUGGCUGAAGUUAAGAUUAUUGCAGAAAUUGAGCAACAGUUGAGUUGCAGGGAGGAAGGUGUAUGAGUUGUUGAUUGUUGGUUUUGGUUUUGCCAGUCACAGGACAUAGAAGAAGUAUGUGAUGAAGAUUAUUAAGUUUGGUUUGGUUAAUUAGGGUUUAUGUGGUUGUGGUUGGAGAACAACAAUUCAGAGGAUGCUGGUUCUUGGGUAAGAUUCUAAUUUCGUUUAAGGUUGGAAUUUUAGUUCAAAUUGCUCAGAUUAUUGAAUUGCUGUGUUUGUAAUUGGAACUGUUUUGAGUUAUGAGUUGUUAUUGAAGAUACAAUGAAAUUGAGAUUGUUUGAGAAACUUGGUGUUGAAAAGGAUAUGGAUUGGAACUGUGAUUUGUAUUGAAUUACAGUUGGGGAUUAUAUGCUUAGGAUGUAGAAAUUGGUGUUCUGUGUGGAAUUAAAUGUAAGUUAUGAUCAUCUUGUGGUGUUAAUGGUGUUGUUAAAGAAAAGUUUAAUGAGAUUACUGUAGAAUCAGUGGUAUGGUAAUGGCAGUGGUAGUGGUGUUACAGGUGAACUGAUUUUAGAUGUUUUGAAGAUGUGCUGGUGGUGUUGAAAUGAUCAAGUCUAGAACUGUGGAUGGUGGUUGAACUGAAUUUGCAGGAACUGUAACUAAAAUAGAAGUUGCAGAUGGGGGUUGUUGUAGAGAAAUGGUAAUGAUAACUAGAGAUGGUGAACUGUCUAGGAAGAUGAAUGUUGGGUUAAACAACAGUGACAAUUGAUAAGGAGUAUGUGUUUAGAAAUGGAACUGAAUUAUUAUUGUUGUUUGAAUGGAUUGACAGAAGUGAUUCGAGUCUGAGAUGAUAUGGUUAGAUAGUGUUUUAUUGGUGGUGUUGGCUGUGUAGUUGAAUUUGCAGGUGGAACUGUAAUAUUGAGAUUUGAAGUGUUAGAACUGAAUCUAUAGUUGUGAUUUGGUUGUAUGCAGAAUCACAAAUGGAUAGUCUCUUCGAAAGCAUGUUGUUACUGCAAUUGCAGUUAGUCUAUAAUAACAACGAUCAAUUCAAAGGAUGAACCAGUGGAUCGUGGAUCUCGAGGUAGGCAUGGCUUGUCAUCAAAAGAGUUUCAGAGACAGAUCAGAGUUGCGCAGCGAAAACUUCAACGGUCGAGUUCGUUACUUGUUUAACUUCUGCUAUGCUUAUUAUGUUGCAUAUUAUAUUUGUAAACCAAACGAAUAUUGUAUAUGUAUCAUUUGAGAGAAGUUCUUGUAUAUAUAUAUAUAUUUCUGAGCGGGGCUAGUUUGGGUUAA